rnacentral:rRNA from 1 species
UACGUAGGGUCCGAGCGUUGUCCGGAGUUACUGGGCGUAAAGAGCGCGCAGGCGGUCGUUCAAGUCGCGUGUGAAAGCCCCCGGCUCAACUGGGGAGGGUCACGCGAUACUGAUCGACUCGAAGGCAGGAGAGGGUAGUGGAAUUCCCGGUGUAGUGGUGAAAUGCGUAGAUAUCGGGAGGAACACCAGUGGCGAAGGCGACUACCUGGCCUGUUCUUGACGCUGAGGCGCGAAAGCUAGGGGAGCAAACGGG